rnacentral:tRNA from 1 species
GUCGGCGUUUCUGAAAAGUGCCCGGUUUGGAAUCAUAAUCCACGUGUCCGGGGUUCGAGUCCCUGUGCCGCCA